GACGACUUCGGUUGUCAAGGCCGACACUUCCGCUUACUGUCCGUCGUUCAGAAGACUGAACGACGGACAGUAAGCGGAAGUGUCGGCCUUGACAACCGAAGCUCGU
rnacentral:pre_miRNA from 1 species